GAGGAUAUAGCUCAGUGGUAAAGUGCUUGUCUGGCAUACAUGAAGCCCUGGGUUCAAUCUCCAGCACUACA
rnacentral:tRNA from 1 species